AUCUAAGUACCCCGAGGAAAAGAAAUCAACCGAGAUUCCCCCAGUAGCGGCGAGCGAACGGGGAGGAGCCCAGAGCCUGAAUCAGCAUGUGUGUUAGUGGAAGCGUCUGGAAAGGCGCGCGAUACAGGGUGACAGCCCCGUACACAAAAGCGCAUAUGCUGUGAGCUCGAUGAGUAGGGCGGGACACGUGGUAUCCUGUCUGAAUAUGGGGGGACCAUCCUCCAAGGCUAAAUACUCCUGACUGACCGAUAGUGAACCAGUACCGUGAGGGAAAGGCGAAAAGAACCCCGGCGAGGGGAGUGAAACAGAACCUGAAACCGUGUACGUACAAGCAGUGGGAGCACAGGUUUACCUG
rnacentral:rRNA from 1 species